AUUGUCUUUUAUCAAUUCCACAAUGUCAAUUUCCUUGACAUUUUUUAUUUACAAAUUUUUAAAAAUUUCCCUUCUAAAUGGAUACGCAAAUUACAUUUGUGAUAUACUAAAGAAAUAAAAAGAAGAAAGAAAAAAUAAAAAUUGUCGCUGACACCGAGGAAAACAUCAUCAUAUUUUGUACGCCGUAAUAUUAAGAGUUAUUAAAACAUGUCUGCUUAUGACUCAACAUUUCUGGAGAUAACGUUUAUAAUGUUUUGGCUUUAGUCAUUAUGUUUUCGAAUUACGAGAGGUGACAAUAAAGUAGCAGCUUCAUAUAAGCAUUUAAAGGGACAGAAGAUGAUUUGUUCAAAGUGAGCAACAAGAACAUUGAUGGUGUUGCUGAUUUUAUAAAACUUUCAAAGGCUCCUUGUUCUGCAAAAAUUACAUUAAAAGAUGCUCUGAGGAAACAAUCACAAAACUCUUCAAUAACUGCUUCCAAAAUGAUGUACGAACAGCUAAAGCGAAGUGGAUCAAUCAACAUUUAAAUGUAUAUUUAAACCUUUAAAAAACAUAAAGAACAUAUUAAAUUUAUAUUAAUUUACU